rnacentral:rRNA from 1 species
AGCGAAGUAGCUGAUUUCACACUGUCGAGAAAAGUCUCUAUCGAGGUUAAAGGCGCCCGUACCUCAAACCGACACAGGUGGGUGAGGAGAGUAUCCUAAGGCCAGCCAGAGAACUGUUGUUAAGGAACUCGGCAAAAUGACCCCGUAACUUAGGGAGAAGGGGUGCCAUCAUCACGAUGGCCGCAGAGAAUAGGCCCAAGCGACUGUUUACCAAAAACACAGGUUUCUGCUAAGUCGCAAGACGAUGUAUAGGAGCUGACGCCUGCCCGGUGCUGGAAGGUUAAGGGGAUCUGUUAGGAGCAAUCCGAAGCAGUGAACUUAAGCCCCAGUAAACGGCGGCCGUAACUAUAACGGUCCUAAGGUAGCGAUAUUCCUUGUCGGGUAAGUUCCGACCCGCACGAAAGGCGUAACGAUUUGGGCACUGUCUCAACAACAGACUGGGUGAAAUUGUAAUACCGGUGAAGAUGCCGGUUACCUGCGACAGGACGGAAAGACCCCAUGGAGCUUUACUGUAGCUUGACGUUGGGUCUUGGUACUACAUGUACAGGAUAGGUGGGAGACUAUGAAGCAUGAACGCCAGUUUGUGUGGAGUCAUCCUUGGGAUACCACCCUUGUAGUACUGGGAUCCUAACCAUAGGCCAUGAAUCUGGUCUUGGGACACCGUCAGGUGGGCAGUUUGACUGGGGCGGUCGCCUCCUAAAGAGUAACGGAGGCGCUCAAAGGUUCUCUCAGUACGGUCGGAAAUCGUACGAAGAGUGUAAAGGCAAAAGAGAGCUUGAUUGCAAGACAUACAGGUCGAGCAAGGACGAAAGUCGGACUUAGUGAUCCGGUGGUACCGCAUGGAAGGGCCAUCGCUCAACGGAUAAAAGCUACCCUGGGGAUAACAGGCUUAUCUCCCCCAAGAGUCCACAUCGACGGGGAGGUUUGGCACCUGGAUGUCGGCUCAUCACAUCCUGGGGCUGUAGUAGGUCCCAAGGGUUGGGCUGUUCGCCCAUUAAAGUGGUACGCGAGCUGGGUUCAGAACGUCGUGAGACAGUUCGGUCCCUAUCCGUCGCAGGCGUAGGAAAUUUGAGGAGACCUGUCCUUAGUACGAGAGGACCGGGAUGGACGUACCUCUGGUGUACCAGUUGUUCUGCCAAGGGCAUGGCUGGGUAGCUAUGUACGGAAUGGAUAAGCGCUGAAAGCAUCUAAGCGCGAAGCCGACUUCAAGAUAAGAUUUCCCACCGUAAGGGUAAGAUCCCAGGAAGACUACCUGGUUGAUA